AGGACGAACGCUGGCGGCGUGCUUAACACAUGCAAGUCGAGCGGAAAGGCCCUUCGGGGUACUCGAGCGGCGAACGGGUGAGUAACACGUGAGCAACCUGCCCUUAGCUCUGGGAUAGCUCCGGGAAACCGGAAUUAAUACCGGAUAUUACACCGGCUGGCAUCGGCUGGUGUGGAAAGAUUUAUCGGCUAAGGAUGGACUCGCGGCCUAUCAGCUUGUUGGUGGGGUAGAAGCCUACCAAGGCGACGACGGGUAGCCGGCCUGAGAGGAAGAUCAGCCACACUGGGACUGAGACACGGCCCAGACUCCUACGGGAGGCAGCAGUUGGGAAUCUUGGACAAUGGGGGAAACCCUGAUCCAGCCAUGCCGCGUGAGUGAUGAAGGCCUUCGGGUUGUAAAACUCUUUCGACGGGACGAUAAUGACGGUACCCGUAGGAAGAAGCUCCGGCUAACGUUCGUGCCAGCAGCCGC
rnacentral:rRNA from 1 species